AUGAACGCUAGCGGCAGGCCUAAUACAUGCAAGUCGAGGGGUAAAUAUGUAGCAAUAUAUAUGAGACCGGCGCACGGGUGCGUAACACGUAUGCAACCUACCUUUUACUGGGGAAUAGCCCCGAGAAAUCGGGAUUAAUACCCCAUAACACUACGGAAAGGCAUCUUUCUGUAUUUAAAGCUCCGGCGGUAAAAGAUGGGCAUGCGGAACAUUAGCUAGUUGGUGAGGUAAUGGCUCACCAAGGCUACGAUGUUUAGGGGGUCUGAGAGGAUGAUCCCCCACACUGGUACUGAGACACGGACCAGACUCCUACGGGAGGCAGCAGUAGGGAAUAUUGGUCAAUGGACGCAAGUCUGAACCAGCCAUGCCGCGUGCAGGAAGAAUGUCCUAUGGAUUGUAAACUGCUUUUUUAUAGGAAGAAACCCCUGGAUGCGUCCGGGGCUGACGUUACUAUAAGAAUAAGGAUCGGCUAACUUCGUGCCAGCAGCCGCGGUAAGACGAAGGAUUCAAGCGUUGUCCGGAUUUACUGGGUUUAAAGGGUGCGUAGGCGGAAGUCUAAGUCAGUGGUGAAAUCCCGCAGCUCAACUGCGGAACUGCCAUUGAAACUGGUCUUCUUGAAUACAGUUGAGGUAGAUGGAAUAUAACGUGUAGCGGUGAAAUGCUUAGAUAUGUUAUAGAACACCGAUUGCGAGGGCAGUCUGCUAAGCUGUUAUUGACGCUGAGGCACGAAAGCGUGGGGAGCAAACAGGAUUAGAUACCCUGGUAGUCCAUGCCCUAAACGAUGAUCACUUGAUGUCGGCCGCAAGGUCGGUGUCGGAGCUAACGCGUUAAGUGAUCCACCUGGGGAGUACGCUCGCAAGGGUGAAACUCAAAGGAAUUGACGGGGGCCCGCACAAGCAGUGGAGCAUGUGGUUCAAUUCGAUGCAACGCGAAGAACCUUACCUAGGCUUGAAAGGCCGUCUAAACUGGUGAAAGCCAGCUACCCGCAAGGGGGGCGGUACAGGUGCUGCAUGGCUGUCGUCAGCUCGUGCCGUGAGGUGUUUGGUUAAGUCCAGCAACGAGCGCAACCCCUGGAUUCAGUUGCCAGCACGUAAUGGUGGGAACUCUGGAUCAACUGCCUACGCAAGUAGUGAGGAAGGUGGGGACGACGUCAAGUCAUCAUGGCCCUUACGCCUAGGGCAACACACGUGCUACAAUGGCAACUACAACGCGCUGCAAUACCGCGAGGUGGAGCGAAUCGCUAAAAAGUUGUCUCAGUUCAGAUCGGAGUCUGCAACUCGACUCCGUGAAGUUGGAAUUGCUAGUAAUCGGGGGUCAGCACACCCCGGUGAAUACGUUCCCGGGCCUUGUACACACCGCCCGUCACGCCAUGAAAGCCGGGAGUACCCGAAGCCGCCUUAUAAGCGUCUAAGGUAAGACCGGUGAUUGGGGCG
rnacentral:rRNA from 1 species